GAUGUUCUGCCGAGCAGACGCUCCAUGGUCUGUCAAUUUCCAUCCCCGAUCCGCGCCCGCAGCUCCGGAUUUUCGGAUUGAUUCCACCGGAAUCGUGGCUCCUCGACCCAUUUUUAUUUGGCCCCACAUCGGAAAGAACGGAUCCGCAGCAACCUUGCCCACCAUGGAGGCGGUGAUAGCGGCGGCGGAAGAGAGCGUGCGUGCCAAUGGGGCUACGAAGACGUUGGUCGUGGCCGAGGACGGGCGAUAUCACCAGGGCGACAACAAUUACGGCGGCGGCAACAACCAUGGCGGCCUGCAGUGAGCGUAGCAACUACGGCGGCCGCGGCGGCCGAGGAGGAGGAGGAGGAGGCCAGAGUCAGCCGCCCCCGACAUGCACCAAGCCGCACUGCCGCAGGGCCUCCCCUCUUCGAGCGCUACCACGCAGAGGCAACACAGCUCGGGAAGAAGUCCCAGGCGAUGGACAUCAGUCGUGCCGCUGUAGAUCCAAUCGACCGGCGAUGGAGCAGUUAUUGGCGUUCCUCCGCGCGGCACCAGAUUUUGAAUUCAGUGUGGUAGAGAACACCCACAAAAUCAUCACAAGGAUUCAUGAACCUACUUUCGAAUGGAAGAAAUGUGAUGUUCAAUUGCCAUUAACCCGAUCGGUCUCUUGCAUGGGGAAGGGGAGACCGAGGAGGAAAUGGCGACCAAGAGGUGUGCAGGCACCCUGGGUGACAAGGGCCUCAGGGGGGAGAAGGUGUUCCUUAGUGCCGAUCUGAACGUUCUGCUGGACGACGGCCUGAACAUCACUGGUGACAACCGCAUCCGCGCCUCCAUGCCGUCCAUCAAGUUCCUCAUGGGGAAGGGCGCCAAGGUUGUCCUGGCCAACCAUCUGGUGAGCGCACGCUUCUGCCAUUCAGUCAGCCUCCCGUGUGGCGCACGACUGUAGCUGCUUGAUGUCGUGAGCAACACCACCGGAUGGCCCAGCCACCCCUUCAUCGCAGACCUCGCUGAAGACUAACCAACUAGACGCAGAUCCAUUUCAUUCUACUAAGUGUCCCAGGCUGUGUAUGCUAGCCUCCUCCGCUACAUUUGCAGGCCGCCGAGUCCAACUCCUCUGCGGUGCAGAUCACCCGCCCACCGCGCUGCGCAAUUCACGAUGCAGGCGGCCCUCCUCCACGGUGAGGUAUCGAUAUUAAUUUAAUUCAGAGUCUGUUUUGGUGUGUUUGGAGUGUGGAUGGUAAGAUGAUGUGCUCAAAUAGAAUUAGAAGAGCAGGCAUAUCCAUAUGGUGGUACUUUUUUCAUAAUAAAUGGUGGUGGUGCUAAUUAACUAUUGGCUCUUAGUUUGAUUCAGAGUCUAGGUGCACUGCUAGAAACUUACUUUAGCAAUUUCGCAAAGAAAAAUCGACUUUUUGUUCAGCUGUUUGAACUUACUUUUCAUAUAUGCUGAUCACGGUUUAAUUUCAAAAUGAAAAGAGAAUCCAAUCCAUACUGUGCUAUAGUAUUUUUUGGUGUAAACUAAUUCAAGAGUACUACUUGAAAUCUGAUGGGGAAUACUGAUGAUGCGUCAUUUUGGACUAAUCUUCUUAACUGAGUCCAAAUUUAAAUGCCCUAGAGGCCGUAACACUAGGAUGACUUACUCCUUUCAGCAUCUAACAUUUAUUACCAAAAAAAACUGAGAAAACUCCAGUUAUGGUGAUCAUGUAGGCAUGAGCCCCUGUGUUCUGGACAACUAAGGUUACAUGCAAAAUUACCUGAUCAUGUAGCAAUUCGGAUUUAGACGCAUGCAUUUAGAUUGGGUGGUGAAGCGAGCCCGCCAUUUUAUUUCUCUGAAAGAACUAUACAAUGAUCUUUGGCUAUUGCUUUCAGUAUUACAGUGACAACCUUUCUAUGGUAUUUUGUUGGACAACUUUUUGUGUAAUGUCUGGCACCUCAAUAUACGUUAAAUAAGUGCAAGCUUGGGUAUAUAUUUUUCUCUCUCUCAUGUUGUAUUCAUUUUAUUUGCUCUGCUACUUUGGGUAAAUAGAAUCACGCACAAGCUCCAGUUAGUUCCUUAUUUUGUCUGUUUCAGACUUAGGAUUGUAGGGAAAAGUGUGAACUAUGAAUUCAUACCAGAACUGGAUUGGCCAUGGCACGUCUUCACCGACGAGUCAUGACGUCGACAACAAUAUUGAAGAUUUCCCGUUUCCUUUAUUUUCAAGCAUCUCUCAAAAGUAUAAUAUAUGCAGGUUCAUCAUUCAUGCGAGGGAUAUGAAAGAUGAAACAAAAGUAAAAGGUGUUUAUGCCUACGGGCUAUGGAGCAUCAUAAUGUUGGAGGAGUGUCAUGCCGAUUUUAUAAAUCCAGUAGCAUCCUACUACUCGCAGUUUCUGUGGUUCAAUCAAAUCAAUAGUACAAUUUUCAAAUGAUAAAUUUGUUAUGGUUAGAUAUAAUUUUUGAAGUUUCGAGGUUUUGUGAGAUGAGAUGAUGGCUCAUAUAUGUCAUUUUGGCAAAAGUCCCACUACGGUCAUAUCUUGUAGUUCAAUUAGAUAAUGCAGUUUUCAAAUGAUACGUGAUAUGGUGAUAUGCUUUUAUUUAUGUAUUUCCUAUA